AGCGUACACAGGUGCUGCAUGGCUGUCGUCAGCUCGUGUCGUGAGAUGUUGGGUUAAGUCCGCAACGAGCGCAACCCUGCAUCCAGUUGCCAUCGGGCGAGCCGGGCACUCUGGAGGGACUGCCGGCGACAAGCCGGAGGAAGGUGGGGGAUGACGUCAAGUCAUCAUGGCCCUUAUGUCCAGGGCGACACACGUGCUACAAUGGCCGGCACAGCGGGAAGCGGAGGGGCGACCCUGAGCGGAUCCCUUGAAAGACCGGUCCCAGUUCGGAUUGCAGUCUGCAACUCGACUGCAUGAAGUUGGAAUCGCUAGUAAUCGCGGAUCAGCCAAGCCGCGGUGAAUACGUUCCCGGGCCUU
rnacentral:rRNA from 1 species